rnacentral:rRNA from 1 species
UACGGAGGAUCCAAGCGUUAUCCGGAUUUAUUGGGUUUAAAGGGUGCGUAGGCGGCCUAUUAAGUCAGGGGGUGAAAGACGGUAGCUUAACUAUCGCAGUGCCCUUGAUACUGAUGGGCUUGAAUAUACUAGAGGUAGGCGGAAUGUGACAAGUAGCGGUGAAAUGCAUAGAUAUGUCACAGAACACCAAUUGCGAAGGCAGCUUACUAUGGUAUUAUUUGACGCUGAGGCACGAAAGCGUGGGGGAUCAAACAGGA